UGUUCUCCUUAUUACAGGGUCACUCCCUAAGUUGCAUUUAGAAAGAGCUGUGGCUCGGGUCUAUCUAUUCUGUAACAUUACUCUGGCAAGGGAGUCAGUUUGACCCUGGAGCAUGGCCACUGUGCCUUGGAUGCUCAUCAAAUCUUGUUCAUUUGUAGAAUAAGGGGACAGGCCUUACUGGUUGUUUUCUCUUGUCUUGGGGUAAUCAUCCAUUGAGCUAAGGCGAAAACCACAUCUAGCAGGAGAGUAGGAAGCAAAACCCAAGUUGGACAAUACAAUAUCAAGCAUGUACACAAGCUGAAAUAGAAGGAUAAGCAGCCUGAAAAAGGCACAAAAAUCAAGGAGAGCAAUGCACUGAGACAAAGGGACUCUUCUAGAAAUGUUUUGCUUGGUAAACAUCCAGUUGACCCACCUUAUGAUCAUGGACAACCAGAUACCUGUGUUCGCUCCUCUGCAGCUCACCCACCCUCACCACGGAGAUCCUUCCUAGCAGGUCCUCCAGGUGCCAAUCACUUGGCAAGGUGUGCACUUCCCGGUUCACGUUAAAGCUCUGCCAAGUGGAGUCAACACUCAGCGAUGCCCAGUUCACGUCAGCAGCCGUCUAAGAUGUGUCAGGCAGGCUCUUGAUACACUGGAACAAAACAAACUGUACUUUGCAUCCAAAAUAACUGGUCAUCGUAAUGCUGACAUGGAAUUUCCCUGAAUUUCACCCUAAUGGAAUUAGCCAAGCUGUAUCAUGCGAGAAAGCAUAGAAUAGGUACCUAUGUGGUGAUGUAACGUUAAAAAUUAAUUAUGAAGCCUA
rnacentral:lncRNA from 1 species